rnacentral:rRNA from 1 species
CCUACGGGAGGCUGCAGUGGGGAAUAUUGGACAAUGGGGGGAACCCUGAUCCAGCCAUGCCGCGUGUGUGAAGAAGGCCCUCGGGUUGUAAAGCACUUUCAGUGAGGAAGAACGCCUGGUGGUUAAUACCCAUCAGGAAAGACAUCACUCACAGAAGAAGCACCGGCUAACUCCGUGCCAGCAGCCGCGGUAAUACGGAGGGUGCGAGCGUUAAUCGGAAUUACUGGGCGUAAAGCGCGCGUAGGUGGCUUGAUAAGCCGGUUGUGAAAGCCCCGGGCUCAACCUGGGAACGGCAUCCGGAACUGUCAAGCUAGAGUGCAGGAGAGGAAGGUAGAAUUCCCGGUGUUGCGGUGAAAUGCGUAGAGAUCGGGAGGAAUAACAGUGGCGAAGGAGGCCUUCUGGACUGACACUGACACUGAGGUGCGAAAGCGUGGGUAGCAAACAGGAUUAGAUACCCGAGUAGUA